rnacentral:rRNA from 1 species
UACGGAGGGUGCGAGCGUUGUCCGGAAUCACUGGGCGUAAAGGGCGCGUAGGCGGCUGGUGAAGGCUUGUGUGAAAGUCCGGGGCUCAACCCCGGAUCGGCACGGGCGACUCGCUGGCUGGAGCCCACUAGAGGCGGGUGGAAUUCCGGGUGUAGCGGUGGAAUGCGUAGAGAUCCGGAAGAACACCGGUGGCGAAGGCGGCCCGCUGGGGUGGAGCUGACGCUGAGGCGCGACAGCGUGGGGGAGCAAACAGG